CCUACGGGUGGCAGCAGUGAGGAAUAUUGGUCAAUGGACGAGAGUCUGAACCAGCCAAGUAGCGUGCAGGAUGACUGCCCUAUGGGUUGUAAACUUCUUUUAUAUGGGAAUAACAUGUUCUACGUGUGGGAUUUUGUAUGUACCAUAUGAAUAAGGAUCGGCUAACUCCGUGCCAGCAGCCGCGGUAAUACGGAGGAUCCGAGCGUUAUCCGGAUUUAUUGGGUUUAAAGGGAGCGUAGGUGGAGUGUUAAGUUAGUUGUGAAAGUUUGCGGCUCAACCGUAAAAUUGCAGUUGAAACUGGCAGGCUUGAGUACAGUAGAGGUAGGCGGAAUUCGUGGUGUAGCGGUGAAAUGCUUAGAUAUCACGAAGAACGCCGAUUGCGAAGGCAGUUCACUGGACUGCAACUGACGCUGAGGCUCGAAAGUGUGGGUAUCAAACAGGAUUAGAUACCCGGGUAGUC
rnacentral:rRNA from 1 species